AAUGAACGCUGGCGGCAGGCCUAAAACAUGCAAGUCGAACGCCCUAGCAAUAGGGAGUGGCGCACGGGUGAGUAACAUGUGGGAAUAUGCCUUUUGGUACGGAACAACGUUUGGAAACGAACGCUAAUACCGUAUGGUCCCUCCGGGGUAAAGAUUUAUCGCCAAAAGAUUAGCCCGCACUAGAUUAGCUAGUUGGUAAGGUAAUGGCUUACCAAGGCGACGAUCUAUAGCUGUUCUGAGAGGAAGAUCAGCCACACUGGGACUGAGACACGGCCCAGACUCCUACGGGAGGCAGCAGUUAGGAAUAUUGGACAAUGGGCGCAAGCCUGAUCCAGCCACGCCGCGUGAGUGAUGAAGGCCUUCGGGUUGUAAAGCUCUUUAGCCGACGAAUAUAAUGACUGUAGUCGGAGAAUAAGCCCCGGCUAACUUCGUGUCAGCCGCCGCUGUAAAAC
rnacentral:rRNA from 1 species